rnacentral:rRNA from 1 species
CUUGAACAGUUCAUUGCUCUGUGGAACAUGCUCUUGCCUAUCAACCUCCAACCUGGUGUCCCGGACACCAUCCUUUGGAAGCUCUCCAGUGAUGGGUCUUACUCUGCCAAGACAGCCUAUUUGGCCCAAUUUGCUAGACUUGUUCAAUCCAACUUGCAAACCAUUGUCUGGAAGGCUUGGGCCCCUCCAAAAUGUAAAUUCUUUGCAUGGUUAGUCACACAAAAUCUGGUCUGGACGGCGGACAGGCUGCAACAUCGUGGGUGGACAAACUAUGAUCGUUGCCCGCUUUGCAAUCUACAGUUCAAGUGA